GAUAGGACUCAUCUGUCUCCCGGGAAGCUGGCCAUGCCAAUACAAGGACAAAUGGACUUUUCCCUUUCUAGGGUGACUGAGUUUGAGUGAGGUGUUUCUGAGAAGCCCAAAUGCGGGCUGACUAGAACUCCGGAAGCCAGGAAUCUGAUCCUGAAGCAGUGGAAUAAAUUGAAAAUGGAUGAUAGGAUGCCACCAACUGCAUCUACAGGACCAGACCCCAAUGAAAACCAUGGGCAACAUGGGUUCCUUGAGACUUCCUCACAGCUAUAGGAAUUGUCACACCCCAUGAUCUCUUACCACUGUCUUUGAUCUCAUUGUAAAAGCACAGCUGGAAGGCAUUUCUUGGACCUCACUGGACUCUGAUUCCUAGCUUUCUCCUGGCUUGUUUUCACCUAUUAUAGUGGUUCUCAACUGUCCUAAGACCCUUUCAUACAGUUGCUCAUGUUGCAGUGACCCCCAACAAUAAACUCAUUUCAUUGCAACCUCAUAACUAUAAUUUUGUUGCUGAUAUGAAUUGUAAUGUAAAUAUCUGAUAUGCAACUCC